rnacentral:rRNA from 1 species
UGGGGAAUAUUGGACAAUGGGCGAAAGCCUGAUCCAGCGACGCCGCGUGGGUGAAGAAGGCCUGCGGGUUGUAAAGCCCUUUCAGUGGGGAAGAAAAGCCUCGACCUAACACGUCGGGGUCUUGACGUAACCCAUAGAAGAAGCACCGGCUAACUCUGUGCCAGCAGCCGCGGUAAUACAGAGGGUGCGAGCGUUAAUCGGAAUUACUGGGCGUAAAGCGCGCGUAGGCGGCUUUGCAAGCCGGAUGUGAAAUCCCCGGGCUUAACCUGGGAACUGCAUUCGGGACUGCAUAGCUAGAGUAUGGGAGAGGGAAGUGGAAUUUCCGGUGUAGCGGUGAAAUGCGUAGAUAUCGGAAGGAACAUCAGUGGCGAAAGCGACUUCCUGGACCAAUACUGACGCUCAUGUGCGAAAGCGUGGGGAGCAAACAGG